rnacentral:rRNA from 2 species
GAAUGCUGACAUAAGUAACGAUAAAGCGGGUGAAAAGCCCGCUCGCCGGAAGACCAAGGGUUCCUGUCCAACGUUAAUCGGGGCAGGGUGAGUCGACCCCUAAGGCGAGGCCGAAAGGCGUAGUCGAUGGGAAACGGGUUAAUAUUCCCGUACUUGGUGUUACUGCGAAGGGGGGACGGAGAAGGCUAUGUUGGCCGGGCGACGGUUGUCCCGGUUUAAGCGUGUAGGUGUGUGUUCCAGGUAAAUCCGGUUCACUUUAACACUGAGGCGUGACGACGAGGCACUACGGUGCUGAAGCAACAAAUGCCCUGCUUCCAGGAAAAGCCUCUAAGCAUCAGGUAACAUCAAAUCGUACCCCAAACCGACACAGGUGGUCAGGUAGAGAAUACCAAGGCGCUUGAGAGAACUCGGGUGAAGGAACUAGGCAAAAUGGUGCCGUAACUUCGGGAGAAGGCACGCUGACACGUAGGUGAAGUGAUUUACUCAUGGAGCUGAAGUCAGUCGAAGAUACCAGCUGGCUGCAACUGUUUAUUAAAAACACAGCACUGUGCAAACACGAAAGUGGACGUAUACGGUGUGACGCCUGCCCGGUGCCGGAAGGUUAAUUGAUGGGGUCAGCGCAAGCGAAGCUCCUGAUCGAAGCCCCGGUAAACGGCGGCCGUAACUAUAACGGUCCUAAGGUAGCGAAAUUCCUUGUCGGGUAAGUUCCGACCUGCACGAAUGGCGUAAUGAUGGCCAGGCUGUCUCCACCCGAGACUCAGUGAAAUUGAACUCGCUGUGAAGAUGCAGUGUACCCGCGGCAAGACGGAAAGACCCCGUGAACCUUUACUAUAGCUUGACACUGAACAUUGAGCCUUGAUGUGUAGGAUAGGUGGGAGGCUUUGAAGUGUGGACGCCAGUCUGCAUGGAGCCGACCUUGAAAUACCACCCUUUAAUGUUUGAUGUUCUAACGUGGACCCGUUACCCGGGUUGCGGACAGUGUCUGGUGGGUAGUUUGACUGGGGCGGUCUCCUCCUAAAGAGUAACGGAGGAGCACGAAGGUUGGCUAAUCCUGGUCGGACAUCAGGAGGUUAGUGCAAUGGCAUAAGCCAGCUUGACUGCGAGCGUGACGGCGCGAGCAGGUGCGAAAGCAGGUCAUAGUGAUCCGGUGGUUCUGAAUGGAAGGGCCAUCGCUCAACGGAUAAAAGGUACUCCGGGGAUAACAGGCUGAUACCGCCCAAGAGUUCAUAUCGACGGCGGUGUUUGGCACCUCGAUGUCGGCUCAUCACAUCCUGGGGCUGAAGUAGGUCCCAAGGGUAUGGCUGUUCGCCAUUUAAAGUGGUACGCGAGCUGGGUUUAGAACGUCGUGAGACAGUUCGGUCCCUAUCUGCCGUGGGCGCUGGAGAACUGAGGGGGGCUGCUCCUAGUACGAGAGGACCGGAGUGGACGCAUCACUGGUGUUCGGGUUGUCAUGCCAAUGGCACUGCCCGGUAGCUAAAUGCGGAAGAGAUAAGUGCUGAAAGCAUCUAAGCACGAAACUUGCCCCGAGAUGAGUUCUCCCUGAGACUUAAAGUCUCCUGAAGGAACGUUGAAGACGACGACGUUGAUAGGCCGGGUGUGUAAGCGCAGCGAUGCGUUGAGCUAACCGGU